ensembl:lncRNA
GCACUUCUCCACUCUCGCAAAGGGAGGAGGAGAGGGUCGGUCCCUUGAUUUUCUGUAACUGAGGCCUGCUUGGAUCUGCUGAGAGGCGGAGAGCGAGCGUCUGGCCCAAAAGCUCUCUCUCGACGAGAAAACACCUCCCGAGAACAGCAGGAUAUGAGGACUCAGAGCCACGUGGAAGUGUGCUCUGAUGAUACCUCAGGAGCAACGCGGAUGGACUGGCCUCUCCUCGACCUACCGCCGCCCCAGGAGCUAGGACUUAGCCACAAAGGCCAUCUCUGGUCUCAACCCUUCCACGGAGACACACAGAGUGUCCUAGUGGAGCCCCGGAGGCCCUGCUGCUGGCGAGGGCUCUGACUCUGCUGUUCAGGGCUACACUUGGCUGGGGGUCAAAUCAGAGCUGCAACUGGAGUCUACACCACAGCCACAGCAACGCUAGAUCUGAGCCGCAUCUGAGAACCACACCACACCUUGCAGCAAUGCCAGAUCCUUAACCCACUGAGCAAGGCCAGGAAGUGGAUCCACAUCUUCAGGGACACUGUGUCAGGUUGUUAACCUGCUGAGCCACAAUGGGAACUCUGAAUUUUAAUAUAUUUGAGAAAUAAAAAAGAACUUCCUCUGGUGACAAGCUAGCAUUUGCAUAUUCCUUGAAAUUAUAAAUGUUUUUCACAUACAUCAACUUAUUUCUACUCUCAUAAAAAUCCUGUGAAAAAGACAGAGGAGCUAUUAUCUCUGUUUAUGAAUAUAAGGAAAGUAAGGGACAAAGAUAUUAAAUGAAUAUCACAAUUCCGCAAACACGAAGCUGGGAACUCAAACUCAGGUCUUCUGACCACCAAUUCAGUACUCUAAUAUCCAUUGAUUGCCUGAUGACACUGAGAUUAGUCUAAUUUUUAUACCUCUCUAGUAACAUUUCAGUAGAUCUCUGUUACAGACAUCUCCAAAGUAACACACAGGUUCUUUUUCCACAAUUCUGACUUAAACGUUUAGGACAAGCACUGCACCACGAGUAUUUACUGCACCCAUGAAGAAUAUUUGUGGGGCAGACGACAAGUGCUAAUAAACCAUCCUUGGUCUCUUCUGUAAAAGUCUAAAAGUUUUUUUGCUAAAGUAAAAUGCUAUCUGAAUUGCAUAGGGAAGAAAAUAGUACCAUAGAAUGUACAUUAUGCAAAUACUUUACCAUUACAAGUGACAUGGCAAUGAACAGAGAGCUAAUUGCUUUCAUGAGAUAUAAUAAUAGUGAUAAAUAGUCACCAGGUAAUUACUACUUUAAACUAUGCAAUUAGCUCAUGUCAACCUUGUGAGUACAUAAAGAAAAUAUAACAUUUUAGGGAAAAAAUCAGAGUGGUAGCUCCUAAGUUUAAGAAAUUUUUAAAGCAGAGUUUGAUAACAUCUGUUUUCUAGUGUGAUGUUCCAUGAUGUCCUCAUUUCUUUUUGUUCUUGCCACCUAUUACACAGUUAUAAAAAUCAAAUAUAUCAGCUGGGACUCUGAAUGAUGAAUGUAAUAAAAAUCUAUAAGUGAACCUUUUAUAUAUAGAGAAAUUCUCUACACAUUUUAAAAGUUCCCAAUUAUCAGUUUGCUUUGUGUUCUUAAAUUUUUCCUGCCAUCUGCAUAUAAAUAUGUACUGAGUAUUAAGUAUGACUCUCUUACUAUUAUUCUAUCAACAUACACCUGUAUGUGUAUAACCUUUUACACUAAACAUACAAAAAAAUGCAUGAAAGUAUUGUUACAAAUCCACAACAACCAUGAGUAAUACCAUAAAACCAUAAACCCACUACCUGACCAAAAAACUGGACUGUGACAAAUCUCUGUACCAACCUAGGAGUUCUUCCCCUAUCCCACCUUCCUGCCUGUCCUCCACAGGUAGCCACUAGCCUGAAUUUUGUAUUUUAUCAUCCCUUGUCUUUUUAAAAAAUGAUAUCACAAUAUAUGCCUGCAUCUCUAAAUAAUAUUUUUUUUUAGUUUUUCUUGGUUUUGAGUUUUAUAGAAUGGUAUCUUACUGUAAAUAGUUCUCUGGUACUUGUUUUUUUACUCGAUCUUAUAUUUCUAGAUCCUUCUAUGUCAUUACAUACAGUUCAAUCAUUUCACUGCUGUGUAAUACUCCACCAGAUGACUGAUCUAUGUAUUUACAUCUGAAUUUAUGUAUUCAUCUUCUCUGGACAUUUGAGUUUCAAGUUUUUUUGCUAUUAUGACCAAGGAUAUCAUGAAUUCUUUUUGUACUAGCUCUUGGUGCAUAUAUGCAUAAGUUUCUCUAGGGUAUAUAGUUAGGAAUUAAAUUGCUGGAUGGUUGGGAAUGAAAAUGUUCAACUUUACAAUUUAGGGCCAAACUUUUGAAAAUACAUUGCUCCCAUUUUCAUUUCCAUUAACAGUGUGAUCAAAGCUCCUUAAUGUAAGUGACCAUUACUAUACAUUCUAUCUUAAAAGUGAUUUUCAAUAUUGGUCCCUUUGGUGAAUGGUUAACAAUUACCAUGACUAUUAAACCAUUUUAAAUCCUCAGUACUUUUCAAACAACCUCUCUAGAUGCAAAAAUAAACAAUACAUAUUCAGUUUUAAAUGUUCUUAACAAAGUGAAUCUGUUUAGUAGCCAGCUAAGAAAAUAAAUCCAUAAUUUUAAAUAAGUAUAAGCAUAUGUCAAUCUGGACUUAAAAAUUUUAAUAUCCCAGGUGUUCUGUCAAGUGAAAUUAACGGGACAGACACUAAUCAUGUAUAAUAUGAUUUUAUUUCACUGGACUCCAAAAGCCCAAGAUCCUUUUCUACAACCCAAAUUUUUGUAUUGAUUAAAAAGAUAUAUUAAGGAUACUUGUUUUCCAAAUACCUGUUUUGUACUAUUGUGCCAAGUCUAUUUACAUAAAUCAUAUUUAUCCAAGAAUCCUUACCUAACGCCGUCCUAGGUUUCUUUAUGAUAAUCUUCAUAGAAGCUUCCUAAAUUGUAAUGUUAAUCAAAAACAUUACCUAAAUUGUUUAUUCUAGUUAACGUACAUCAACACUAGCUAAUUCACAGGUGAAAUAUUUGAAUCGUUGAAUAAUCCUGCUUAAAACUCAUUGCUCUUAGAAUAAAGACAGAAGUCUUCACUAUGGCUUUCUUCUUCUCAGCGUUACUCCAUGCUACCUGCUCCCUCAGCCCAUCCACUUCAGCAACAUUUGCCUUCUUACAAUUCCUAUAAAGCAUCAAGCUCCCUUUUGAUUAGGGUCCUUUAUUCAUGCAGUUCUAUUUAGCUGGAAUGCUGACCUUUCCCAAGCCCACUCUCCCACCCACACUCUUCCUAGUGAACUAUUAUCCCUUAGAUCUCGGCUUACAUAGCACUCUAGCAAGAGCCCUGACUCCGCAGUCUAAGUAAGGUCCCUUCUCCCCAAUCUCAUGGCAGACUUCAUAGUGUUCAUCAAAUUUAUAAAUACAUAUUUUUGUAAUUUUUAAAAAUUAAUUUCUGUUUUCCACUACUCACUACAAUUUAUAUACUCUAUAAAGAAGGAGAUGUGUCUGUUUUGUUCUCCAUUGUAACUCCAGCACCAAACACAAUGCCUGGCACACAGUAGGGAUACAAUAAAUAUUUGUUCAUGAAUGAACAAAGGUAGUUAUUCUAAAAUCAUUAUUCCAGCCCCACUCAAAUUCUCUUGACUAUUACUGAUAAUAAGAGAAACUAAUCAAUGUACCUUUGAAUCCUAGAAAGCAAUAAAAAGAAAAGUCGGAAUUCCCAUUGUGGCUCAGUGGUUACGAACCCAACUGGUAUCCAUAAGGAUGUGGGCUGGAUCCCUGGCCUUGCUCAGGGGGUUAGGAUCUGAAGUUGCCAUGAAUUUGGAGUAGAUAGCAGACACUUCUGGCAUCUGGUGUUGCUGGGGCUGUGGCAUAGGCCAGCAGCUGCAGCUACUGUUUGACUCCUAGCCUGGGAACUUCCAUAUGCCACAGGUGCAGCCCUAAAAAGCCAAAAAAAAAAGAGAGAAUAAAAGUCAAAAAAUAACUCACCCAUGGAUAGUUGAAAACUGAUUUUACCAACAGAAAACAUUAAAAGCCAUUCUGAGUAUUUUUUACUUUUUCUUUGCAUUGUUUCUCAUCUUAAGAUCAUACUUUCAUUAAAGACAUGGGGAAAUUCUUUGCAAGAACACACAUCUUUACAAAAUGAAUGUCCUUUAUCCAUUUUUUUCACUAGGCUAUUUGUCUUUUUUCUUCUGAGGUAUAAAAUUUUUUAUAUGCAAAGUUUAUAUUUUAUGUCAUUCAAGUUGUAAAUAUAUUUCCCAUCUUGUCAUUUGCCUUUCCGUUGUUUAUGAUGCUUUGAAAUACAAAGAACUUUAUUUG